GCUUUACAUUCUUCCACACGGCAGUGACGGCACAUGAACGCAACACAAACAAACCUGGAGGAGAGUGAACGUGACAAUUCUGAUUAGGAGAAGGACUCCCACGACCACCGAAGACAAAGUGCUGUGCUGCAUGUCUCUGUUCGGGAGCCCCAGAGGUCAUCUCCCUCUGUGUCAUCACAACCUCAGCCUCCUCACAGCUCCUGGCCCCAACGCGGCGACCCCACGCAGAGAGACAAUCUCUGGUGACACCAACCUUGAACCUGAGCUGCUGCUUUGAAAAGGUUGUUCUGCUGAGAGGAAGAACAUCGAGAUAUCCUUCUUAAAAGUUUUAUAAUAAUGAAAUAAAUGAGAGGCGCCAUGAUUGAAAUGUGCAAUUUUUAUUUUUAUCUUCGUUCCCCUUUGCCAGGACAAAAAAAAUCAUGUAUUUUAGGUACUUCAAGGACCG
ensembl:lncRNA